AAAAAACACAAAGUUUACGAGGCCAAUCUCCAAAACUAAAUGCGCACAAAGGCUUAUGACCCGAAUGUUAUGCAACGACGCCGUAUAAGUAAAAAAUCCACAAUUUUUCUGAGGGCUUAUUCUCGUGAUUAACCUGGGUUUCUCCUUCCAUCUUACGCGACUCCAAGACCCUCUCUCUCCUCUUCUUCCUUCUAAAUUCUCACAAGUUAACUUGAAAUGGGAUCAAGACACCGUGUUCACAGAGAGCCAUUGAAUCCUCGAAGGGGGUAUCCACAGGAAGGGCCUUAUGCUCGCGGCCCAGCUAUGCAGCGGCCGCAUCUUCCUCCUCACCCGGCAUUGUUAGAGGAAGAGCUUGAAGUGCAGCAUGCAGAAAUGAGGAGGAUAGUAGCAGAUAACAGGAGGCUGAUUGAUGAGCGGAUGGCUUUGCAGCGCGAUCUUGCCGCUGCGAAGGAAGAGCUCCAUCACAUGAAUCUUGCAAUUGGUGACAUUCGUGCUGAGCAUGAGAUGCAUUCGAGGGAGCUAGUUGACAAAAGCAUGAAGUUGGAGUCUGACCUUAGGGCGAAUGAGCCGUUGAAGAAUGAAGUUAUACAACUACGAGCUGAAGUUCAGAAGCUUAGUAGUAUCAAACAAGAUCUUUCUGGGAAGGUUCAGACACUCACAAAAGAUGUUGCUAGGUUACAGAAUGAUAAUCAACAAAUUCCUUCAAUGCGGGCUGAGAUUGAUGGAUUGCACCAAGAACUGAUGCGUGCUAGAACAAUGGUGGAUUAUGAAAAGAAGGCAAACAUGGAGUUCAUGGAACAGAGGCAGUCGAUGGAAAAAAACAUGGUUUCCAUGGCCCGAGAAGUUGAGAAACUUCGUGCUGAGCUUGCUAGCAUGGAUGGAAGACGUUGGGGAGCUGGUGUGCCUUACGGAACGAAUUUUGGUAGCCCAGAGGGGGGUUUCCCACCACCAUAUGCAGAUGGAUAUGGUGUUCACAUGUCUUCUGCAGAGAAAGGUCCCCUUUAUGGGGUGGGUACUGCUUCAAGGAAAGCACAUGAGAAGCCUCGCACAAAUCGUCGUUGAAUGCAAGUGAUUGAUGUUGGUGAUGAAGAAAGGCCUGCCAUCCCUUUGGCUGUGUUAGCAGAGUAGCGGAUUGAUGUCCUGUGUAUGCAUACCAUGUUAAUGAUGAAAAGCUGGAAAUCUUGUUUGGGACUGGAAAGUAAGGAUGAAUCCCCAGAAACAUCUUUUGACUAUAAGAUGAAUAAGAUUUUGCAGAUUAUUAUUUCAAAAUGAAAAUUCAGACGAAGCUUACUGUGGGCUGAAGGCAGGUAGAUCACUGGUGGUGGUAGGAUGCAUUUUAUCUGGCUGUGCUGGAUCGAGAUAACCCAUUAGCCUGCCUUUGUUGUGUAUUGAACGUUUAGUUGUGAGAUUGGAAAUGAAAGGUUUGGAAGAGCCAAGUCGGUAGCCUUUCGUUUAGGCAGGUUUGCCCAUCCCAGUACGCCACGAGUAAAGAAUCCAGCUAAAACUCUAGAUCUAUACAAAACACUGGGUUUUUGUGUUUCUUUCGGUUCCAUUGAUAUCAGAGGAGCGCUUGACUCUACAAGAUUAGGUUGUUUAGGAAAAAUGAUAGUCCCACUUGAAUUAGGUUCUUAACAAAAUUCCCUUAACAUGAGGGAAUUCAAAAAAUAUAUUGGAGGAUAAUUCUUACUACUGUUUCUUCAAAUCAUUUCAUAUCUCUAUAAUAAAAUUAGAAACUUAUUAAUCA